UACGUAGGUGGCAAGCGUUGUCCGGAUUUACUGGGCGUAAAGAGCGCGCAGGCGGUCGUACAAGUCGCGUGUGAAAGCCCCCGGCUCAACUGGGGAGGGUCACGCGAUACUGUUCGACUCGAAGGCAGGAGAGGGAAGCGGGAUUCCCGGUGUAGUGGUGAAAUGCGUAGAUAUCGGGAGGAACACCAGUGGCGAAGGCGGCUUCCUGGCCUGUUCUUGACGCUGAGGCGCGAAAGCUAGGGUAGCAAACGGG
rnacentral:rRNA from 1 species